rnacentral:rRNA from 1 species
GUAGGGUGCGAGCGUUAAUCGGAAUUACUGGGCGUAAAGCGUGCGCAGGCGGUUUUGUAAGACAGGCGUGAAAUCCCCGGGCUCAACCUGGGAAUUGCGCUUGUGACUGCAAGGCUGGAGUGCGGCAGAGGGGGAUGGAAUUCCGCGUGUAGCAGUGAAAUGCGUAGAUAUGCGGAGGAACACCGAUGGCGAAGGCAAUCCCCUGGGCCUGCACUGACGCUCAUGCACGAAAGCGUGGGGAGCAAAC